rnacentral:tRNA from 1 species
GGGGUUGUGGCUCAGUGUUAGAGCACUUGCCUGGCAUGUAUGAGGCCCUGGGUUGGAUCUCAGCACCACA